rnacentral:misc_RNA from 1 species
CUUGACCCAGAUUUGUAUAAAAAUCCUCUGGAAAUGUUCAUCAAUAUCUGAAAGAUAUUACUCAUUGCAGAAUCAAAUUCAGAAGCAGAUGCAUCAACAGGUCUCUUCCUUGGGGAGACAAGUCUAAAAAAUUCACAAGCAUGAAGUCGGAAGUCAGCAGAAGAAAGUAAAAAACCACACCCAUGAAUUAUGCCAUAUUUAGAUAGAUCAGGCAAAGGAGCCCACUCAGCAUAUGCAUUAACAGCAUUCAGAGUAGCUGUUACUGUGGCAGCAUGCUGUUUUGCAGAGUCCAAUUGUUGCCUACCAACUUCAUGCAAUGCAGCUCCAAAGUGUCUUUCCAGUAAAGUGUAAAAUAAAGGCAAAAUUUCAGGCAAGGAUUGAGUAAGCCCGCGCAACAAAAGCCUACGCCGGUCACCUUCUAAAUCUUCGUUGUGAACUGUAAUAUCUUCAGGAAGCCAUCUCAGCAUCAUUGCAACCAACUCAGCUUGAACAGGACCCUGGCCAGAUAAGGCAACCAAUGAUGGAAGCAGCUCUUGCCACAGUUCAAUGCCUUCUCUUCUAACAAUCUCAGCAACGAGGGCAGCUGUCUGACUUUUUAGAGCCCAUUCUUCAGAACUAUUUGCAAUCUCAGACAUCAAUUCAACAGCAACAUUUGCAAAAUUCCUGCGUUCCAUUGGGUUUAAUUCCUCCCAUCGCAACCGGACCAAAUGCUGUAGCAUUUUGAAAGCAUGCAACCGGAUUUCCGAAGACCAAUCCUUUUUGACAAGAAGGAAUGAUGCAUUUGCCAAAAUUCGCACAUCUCCUGUUUUGAUGGAAUCGAGGAAAGAGACGGCCGCUUUGCGAGCAUCGGGAGUGGAGUUCCAGUCAAGAGCUGCAACAAUAGCUCGAGCCACAUUGUUUGUUAUGUUAUUGCUACUAGUCUCUUCCAUUGCCAACAAUAAAGAGACUUCACCAGCUUUCGUUGGAUUCCAGAAAGGGACAGGGAUAGAAACAAGUUGAAAGAUUGAAAGGGUCGGGGUUGCUUUCUGCAAGACAGAGGCGAUAGAUUCUGGGAAAGAGACAGAGAAAAGAAGAGGUGGAGAAGAAGGAGACCGGCA